rnacentral:rRNA from 1 species
GACGAACGCUGGCGGCGUGCUUAACACAUGCAAGUCGAACGAUGAAGCGGGUGCUUGCCCUCGUGGAUUAGUGGCGAACGGGCGAGUAACACGUGAGUAACCUGUCCUUUUCUUUGGGAUAACGGCUGGAAACGGCUGCUAAUACUGGAUAUUCAGGCUGCAUCGCAUGGUGUGGUUUGGAAAGGUUUUUUCUGGGAUUGGGUGGGCUCGCGGCCUAUCAGCUUGUUGGUGGGGUGAUGGCUUACCAAGGCUUUGACGGGUAGCCGGCCUGAGAGGGUGGUCGGUCGCACUGGGACUGAGAUACGGCCCAGACUCCUACGGGAGGCAGCAGUGGGGAAUAUUGCACAAUGGACGAAAGUGUGAUGCAGCGACGCCGCGUGGAGGGUGUAGGCCUUCGGGUUGUGAACUCCUUUGUCUCGCGAAAAAGGCACAGUUUUGGCUGUGUUGAUGGUAGUGGGGGAAGAAGCGCCGGCUAACUACGUG